GGUUUUGUAGUGUAGUGGUGAUCACUCCGGAUUUUGACUAUAUGUGAAAGUUUCCGGCGACCCCGGUUCGAGCCCGGGCAAGACCU